rnacentral:tRNA from 1 species
AAAAUCCGUCGAUUUUAAAAUCGUGAGGGUUCAAGUCCCUCUAUCCCCA